rnacentral:lncRNA from 1 species
GCCUUGCCUCCACGUGUCCAGGCUACGUCAUCACGCGUUCUGCACCGUGUGCAAGACAGACAUCGAUAUCAGUCACGAAGGGACGACAGACAGAGGAGGCGCCGUCUCCGUCUGCUCGCCGCGAGACGAGGAGAAACCCAACAAGAGGAGCCGAGAGAGGAAACACAAGAACAAGAAGCAGCACAAACACAAGAAGGACAAGAAGAAGAAGAAGAAGAAGAAGAAGCACAAGAACAAAGGAAAGCAGCAGAAGAAGAGUAAGAAGGAGACGGACAGCAGCGGCGAGGACAGCGGCGAGGACGCUGCACAGGUGUCGACUCAGGAGCUGCUCAAAAGACUGAAAAAUGUCCGGUCUCUUGAGUCCUGGUGAAGACAGUGAGCCGUGUCCUCUGUGAGGACGACCGUCAGCAGAUACC